GAAAAACAGGAAAUUGAAUUGACAAAGAAGAUUGUGAAUGAUGUGUUUCCUCAAACAAAGAGGAGGCGGAAGCGGCAUUGUUGCUCGCGGCGGGUGGUCUGUUGGGCCUGCUUGACGCAUUGCUGGUACGAGUCCAAGACCUCCUCGAAGCGCUGGCAGGAGCGGAAGCGGCAGCCCUGCACCUGCUGCCUGCAUUGGUUAUAGUUUUCGCUGGCGUCUUCGUCGAAGGUGGCGGUUAGUGCUAGUGCUGCCUUGGUUGCCAUUAUGAUAUAUAUAUGCGAGAGAGAAUUAAGAUGCAAUACCAAUCGAGAAUCAUGAUUCAUGGCCAUCGCCGACUCAGAUCUACAUUACCGGAGAAUGAAGAUAGCGUUAAACAACGACCAGUGAGCAAUCAAUGAAACCGCUGUUUUUUUUUCAUGCGACAAGGUAUAGAUUAGUACAGUAGUUUCAAUGCAUGACCGACGAACAAAGUGCGUGUUAGCAUCUACGAAAUGCAGUAGAAUGUAGCAUUCGUAUUUGCAAUGGAAUGUUUGAAUGUGCAGAUUAGAGUUUUAUCGGAAGUGCAGAUUUGGUUAAUUGUCAAGGAAAAUUAAUUUAUGGAGUAUGUUUUAAAUCU